CAGUAGCCGCGGGAAAACAGAGGGUGCGAGCGUUAAUCGGAUUUACUGGGCGUAAAGCGUGCGUAGGCGGCUUCUUAAGUCGGAUGUGAAAUCCCUGAGCUUAACUUAGGAAUUGCAUUCGAUACUGGGAAGCUAGAGUAUGGGAGAGGAUGGUAGAAUUCCAGGUGUAGCGGUGAAAUGCGUAGAGAUCUGGAGGAAUACCGAUGGCGAAGGCAGCCAUCUGGCCUAAUACUGACGCUGAGGUACGAAAGCAUGGGGAGCAAACAGGAUUGAUACCCCUGUAGUCCCUGUCUCUUAUACA
rnacentral:rRNA from 1 species